AUCAAACAACAAAGAUUAUAUCAUAUAAUCUUGCACAAUGAGAGGCCAAAUUAAGUUGUACAGACUUAAUGGAACUUGAGGCUGGUCAAGAUGUUGUUGUUGACCGGGUCAGCCAAGUGAUCCAGAAGGUUCUGGUAGGGCCCCACACCAGUCACAAGACCCUGAAUAAAAUAACCCAAAAUUGCCAGCAUGGCAAGCCUCCCAUUCUUCACUUCCUUGAGCUUCAACUCAUUCAUCGACUUCUCGUCUUUCCCAAACCCUAGCGGGUUGAACAAAGGCCCACCGGGGUAAGCUGGGUUACCCGACCCGCCCAAGUACUUCUCAAGGCCCAAAAAGUAUUGCUUGCUCAUGGACCCGGGGUUGUACCAGUCCUGGAACCUCCGGUGCUCGGCGAAGCCCAUUAGGGCGAGCUCGAAGACAAAGAGUGUGUAGGGGUCGGCCCAGUAGUUGUAGGUCCCGGCUGGCGGGAUAACUCCGGUUUGGAACCAAGGAAGGGCAGUCUCGGCCGGGAUAAGGCCGAGCUUGCCCAGGAUUUCUGGGGCAAUUGCACCAACUGCACCCAGCAUGGCGUAACGUCCGUUGAUGACUUCACCGUAGGCUAGCCAUCUGGGCUCGAUGAACCCACCUGUGCCUUCUGGGUCAGAGAGGCCCAAUGGAUCGAAUCCGAAGUCGCCAGGAAGGCUGCAAGUUAAAUUUAACCAUUUCUCAAAAGUUAAUUUAGGUGAUGACCAAGUGCAGUGCUUUAAAUUUACAUUUCUUUUUGGGAGAAAAUUUGUCUUAUAAUAUGUUAUACAUUUCGUCAUGUUUAUCUCUGUCAUCACGGAAUAAAGUCAAAUACAAUGCAUACAAACACAAUUGAAUUUACAAUUAGAAACAGCUAGUUUUUGUUCAAGGAGUACUAAUUAUGUGAGUCACGUAUAUGGGCGGAUGAACAAUGAGUAUGUGUCGUGACGGAUUUUGGCCAGAAGCACAAUCCAAUUUUUGUAGAUUUUAAUUUGCUUUUCUCUGUGUUAAAUUAAGCUUAUCCUCCUGCUAAUUGUCAACCCUAAUCCAUCUCCUACGUUCUCAUCUCAGUCAAAUAAAAAAAACCUAGUUCCGUCACUCAAACUACACUAUAUGAGUCAUGACGGUGUUACAGUCAUACUAAAGGGUGAGUCGAGCAUUGGUACCUG
rnacentral:lncRNA from 1 species